rnacentral:misc_RNA from 1 species
AAAAUGCGAUAAGUAAUGUGAAUUGCAGAAUUCAGUGAAUCAUCGAAUCUUUGAACGCACAUUGCGCCCGCCAGUAUUCUGGCGGGCAUGCCUGUUCGAGCGUCAUUUCAACCCUCAAGCCCCCCGGGUUUGGUGUUGGGGAUCAGGCUGCGGUUCUGCCGCGUCCCGGCCCCGAAAUCUAGUGGCGGUCUCGCUGCAGCCUCCAUUGCGUAGUAGCUAACACCUCGCAACUGGAACGCGGCGCGGCCAAGCCGUUAAACCCCCCAACUUCUGAAUGUUGACCUCGGAUCAGGUAGGAAUACCCGCUGAACUUAAGC